rnacentral:snRNA from 1 species
AGUGUUAAAUUACAUGAGCAUCA